rnacentral:rRNA from 1 species
UACAGAGGGCUCAAGCGUUAAUCGGAAUCACUGGGCUUAAAGGGUCCGCAGGCGGAUUGGAAAGUAUCUUGUGAAAUACCACGGCUCAACCGUGGAACUGCUCGGUAAACUUCCAAUCUUGAACACGGUAGGGGCCAUCGGAACUCUAGGUGGAGCGGUGAAAUGCGUAGAUAUCUAGAGGAACGCCAGAGGCGAAGGCGGAUGGCUGGGCCGUUGUUGACGCUCAGGGACGAAAGCAUGGGUAGCAACGGAUAGAUACCCCGGUUC